AUGAAGAAAUUUAGCCUUUAUAAAAUUAAAAAAAAAAAGAAAAGGAAAAAAAGGUCACACAUGGAAAAGAGAAUUCCGUACCAGUACAAAAUGACUUCAGGACCUACAGUCAGGAAGAAAGUAUAUUCAGGAGGUCAAAUGAACGGAGCUGGAACACUGAAUCUCCCUCCCUUCUCCCUCCCCCAAACAGGAGUCUGGACAAUCCGAGUGUCUGUCCACUUUGAGAGUCAUUUUGAAGGCAGCUUAGAAAUUGAAAAGGGGACAGAAGCGAGGUCACUGUCCAAACCAUCGGGAAAGGCUGGGCGCGGCAGAGCCUCCCUUCACAAGCCCACGCCUUUCAAGUCGCAGGGAAGAGUCGCCCGCGUAGUCUGCGGGCUCUGCCUGCAGGGGAACUGGGCCCUGAAGCAGUCCCGCAGCUCCCUGUUGAAGAGAAAGCACACGACGGGGUUGAUGCCAGCCUGCGCGAAGGUCAGCCACACCGAGGCUGUCAGGGGCUGUGGGGUCACCUUCUCUUCCUCUUUCCUGCUACCCCAAGUCAUCCGCAUUGUGUAUUAUGCAGUGGGAAAGCGCCUUGGCCUGGACCUCAAGCUACCCACGUUCUAAUCCUGCCUCUGUCAUGUCCUAGAGCUGUGGCCUCAGGUAAGUCACCUUACCUCUCUGGGCCUCAGUUUCCUCAUUUGUAGUCUUAGGUUUGUUUAGCUGACCUCCAAGUUUCCUUUCUAUCUGAAAAUUUUAAUUUCUGCCAUCCAGUUGUAGAAUGGGUAAGUGAGAGAGAUUUCC
rnacentral:lncRNA from 1 species